rnacentral:rRNA from 1 species
CCUACGGGAGGCAGCAGUGAGGAAUAUUGGUCAAUGUGCGGGAGCCUGACCCAGCCACGUCGCGUGAGUGAAGACGGUCCUUUGGAUUGUAAACCUCUUUAGGCGGGGAGCAAUGCCGGGCACGCGUGCACGGAGGGAGAGUACCCGCAGAAUACGCAUCGGCUAACUCCGUGCCAGCAGCCUCGGUAAGACGGAGGAUGCGAGCGUUAUCCGGAUUUAUUGGGUUUCAAGGGUGAGUAGUCGGAUUUGUAGGUCAGCGGUAAAAUGUCCGGCCUCAACCCGGGCCGGCCGUUGAAACUGGGGAUCUUGAGUGGGCGAGAAGUAUGCGGAAUGCGCGGUGUAGCGGUGAAAUGCAUAGAUAUCACGCAGAACUCCGAUUGCGAAGGCAGCAUACCGGCGCCCGACUGACGCUGAGGCACGAAAGCGUGGGGAUCGAACAGGAUUAGAGACCCCUGUAGUC